rnacentral:lncRNA from 1 species
AUGGAAACGUAUUGUUGUGAAUGCAAUUGAAUCAAAAUAUGAUAAUGACUGGCUGAUUCGCAUUAAUUCGGACAAUGACUUCAAGAGAUUCAAAUAUAUACAUAAACCCAUAUCUGUGGCUCAUGUAUGGAAAUUCCCGACGAACAGCUCCGAAAUUCGCACUGCACUGUUUAUCGGAAAACUUAUAUCUACCGCUCCAAACCACG